rnacentral:rRNA from 1 species
GGGAGCUUGCUCCCUGAUGUUAGCGGCGGACGGGUGAGUAACACGUGGGUAACCUGCCUGUAAGACUGGGAUAACUCCGGGAAACCGGGGCUAAUACCGGAUGGUUGUUUGAACCGCAUGGUUCAGACAUAAAAGGUGGCUUCGGCUACCACUUACAGAUGGACCCGCGGCGCAUUAGCUAGUUGGUGAGGUAACGGCUCACCAAGGCGACGAUGCGUAGCCGACCUGAGAGGGUGAUCGGCCACACUGGGACUGAGACACGGCCCAGACUCCUACGGGAGGCAGCAGUAGGGAAUCUUCCGCAAUGGACGAAAGUCUGACGGAGCAACGCCGCGUGAGUGAUGAAGGUUUUCGGAUCGUAAAGCUCUGUUGUUAGGGAAGAACAAGUGCCGUUCAAAUAGGGCGGCACCUUGACGGUACCUAACCAGAAAGCCACGGCUAACUACGUGCCAGCAGCCGCGGUAAUACGUAGGUGGCAAGCGUUGUCCGGAAUUAUUGGGCGUAAAGGGCUCGCAGGC